rnacentral:tRNA from 1 species
GCGAGGGUGGCGGAAUUGGUAGACGCGCCAGAUUUAGGAUCUGGUGGAUUUUAUCCUUGCGGGUUCAAGUCCCGCUCCUCGCACCA